rnacentral:misc_RNA from 1 species
UGGCUCUCGCAUCGAUGAAGAACGCAGCGAAACGCGAUAUGUAAUGUGAAUUGCAGAAUUCAGUGAAUCAUCGAAUCUUUGAACGCACCUUGCACUCUUGGGUUAUUCCUGAGAGUAUGCUUGUUUGAGUGUCACAAACCCCUCAACCCCGCCUGAUUAAGUUUAGGUAGAUUGGGCUUGGAUCAUGGUCUUCUUGUUGGCUUGACAGCCGACUGGACUGAAAUACAAGAAGCUGAAUCAAUACACUGGCGGCUUGACCUAUUGUUAUAAUUGCUAUCCAAAUUCAAUAGGAACGCGAGAAAUUGAAGGAGCUUUCCAAACUCAUUAAUGUCCUUCGGACAUUGUUGAAUAGUGCAAUCCGACCUCAAAUCAAGUAGGACUACCCGCUGA